UACAGAGGGUGCGAGCGUUGUUCGGAAUUACUGGGCGUAAAGGGCGCGUAGGCGGCCUGCUAAGUCGAACGUGAAAUCCCUGGGCUCAACCCAGGAACUGCGUCCGAUACUGGUUGGCUUGAAUCCGGGAGAGGGAUGUGGAAUUCCAGGUGUAGCGGUGAAAUGCGUAGAUAUCUGGAGGAACACCGGUGGCGAAGGCGACAUCCUGGGCCGGUAUUGACGCUGAGGCGCGAAAGCCAGGGGAGCAAACGGG
rnacentral:rRNA from 1 species